rnacentral:rRNA from 1 species
GACGGACGCUGGCGGCGUGCUUAACACAUGCAAGUGGAGCGACGAACCAGGCUUCGGCCUGGGGCAAAGCCGCGAACGGGUGAGUAACACGUGGGUAACCUGCCCCGAUGAUUGGGACAACCCGAGGAAACUCGGGCUAAUACCGAAUGUGCCCUCCGACCAUAAAGUCGCUGGGGAAAGGUAGCUUCGGCUUCCGCAUCGGGAUGGGCCCGCGGCCCAUUAGCUUGUUGGUGAGGUAACGGCUCACCAAGGCGACGAUGGGUAGCUGGUCUGAGAG